ensembl:lncRNA
UUGUCACGAUCUCUAGCUGGAGUGCCUGUGAGCUUCAGUAGAGGGCACUCCACUCAGGACUCAUUCAGAACUCCAUUUCCCAUCCUGCCUCACUCCUGGGACUGAUUGCACACACACACCUGCACCUAAUUCCACACACACACCUGCAGCUAAUACACACACACCCAUAUAAGCAGCACACUCACACCAUCACACUGUGAAGUCUUGUUUAGACUGUCUAACAUUUCCGAGUGGUUUCCCUUUGUAUGUUCUUCCGUGUCUGACUUUUGGAUUGUGUAUUCUGACUCUGAUUCUCUUCUGCCUGCCCCGAUCUCUGCUUGUUUCUGGUUUCGAUUCUGGUUACCCCUGACGUACCUGACGCCAUUCCUGAUUUCCACCUGUCUGACCACUCUGUUAAUAAAUACUGCAAUUGGAUCCGAACGUCUCUGACUCUCCAGUGUAACAGAAGACUUCGCCAAACCAGGAUCCAGCAGUCCGGAAUUCUCUCAUUACCAAGAUGUCGGUUCCCAAUUCUAGGUCAGUGUGUCAACUAUCUAGCCCUAUCAUUGACCCAGUGGACCAGCUACUGCACCUUCGGCAAGGAGAUCAAUCUAUUCAGGAGUAUGUUCAGCAGUUCUGUGAGUUAGUAUAUCAAGUUCCUCUAAAUGAUGAAGCUUUGUUUAAGGACUUGUUUCGUUUUGGACUCAAUGAAUCAAUUAAAUCAUGGUUACCUGGAGGGGAAUUUAAUGGCCGUCUAAGACAUUAUGGACUAUGCACUCUUGUUAUGUGGUUCUCCUUUCACUGUGGGAGAGGCAGAGGACUUUAAAACCCCAAAGUCUCUCCACGAAAUGGCUACCAGCCCGGAGGCGGUUCGCAAAAUGGCCACCGCUCCUGAGACUCAUCCUGUCAUGGCCGCCAGCCCAGCGCCACAGCACAAGAUGGCCGCCAGCCCAGCGCCACAGCACAAGAUGGCCGCCAGCCCAGCGCCACAGCACAAGAUGGCCGCCAGCCCAGCGCCACAGCACAAGAUGGCCGACUCAAUGCCUGAGUCUCCGGACAAGGUACCACCGACUCGCCGUCAUAGAGGGCGGAGGAGGAGACAGGCAUCAACCGUUCCUCAAGGCCCGGAGGCCGUUCCCGAGCAGCCCGCUGCCGUCCCGGAGGCCGUUCCCGAGCAGCCCGCUGCCGUCCCGGAGGCCGAGGCGGUGCCCGAGGCCGUUCCCGAUGCGGUGGCCGAGGCGGGGUCUGAGGCCAUUCCCGAGGUGGUGCCCGAGGCGGUGUCCGAUGCGGUGCCCGAGAUGGUUCCCGAAGCCGAGGCGCUUCACGUCUCCAGAGGCCGUCCAGAGCACCUUCGCGACUCCACAGGCCGUCCAGAGUCAGGUCAGGUUCCCGCUGACCGUCCAGAGUCAGGUCAGGUCCCCGCUGACCUUAGUGAACAAGGUCACGCCGCCGUGGAUCUUAGUGAACAAGGUCAAGUCACAGUUAAACUUUAUGAGGCCAGUCAAAUCACUACCAAUCUUCCAGAGUUUCAUCAUACCACAACAGAUCAUCCAGAGCCUCGUCACAGCCUGUCUGUUGCACCAAGCAAGGUUCUCUCAGCCUGUUGUAUUGAUGUCAAGGAGACUGUAACUGCUGCAGAACCUUCGGAGGUGUCAGUAGAAUCCAUCCAGGAACUCUCGUCCUGUCAUGGCCAAGGAGGUCAUCCACCAACUCACCGCCCAUCCUGUCACGGCCACGGAGGCCGUCUAUGAACUCAUUGCCUGCCCUGUCACGGCUAAGGAGCCGUCUAUGAACUCUCGUCCUACCCUGUCACGGCCAUGGAGACCGGCUGUGAACUCUCUGCCGGCCCUGUCACAGCUAUGGAGGCCGUUUGGGAACUCUCUAACCACCUCAUCACGACCACGGAGGCCGCCAUUAACCUGUUUAUGUUCUCUGUUUCAGUCCCACCUGACCAGACUGGCUCUCCUGUACGGUUGACUCCACUGUGGUGGUCCUCUGCUCCGCCCUGGCGGGCUUCUGUCUCCUCUGCUCAGCUGUGUUGGUUCUCUGCUCCGCCCUGGUCAACUUCUGUCCCGUCUGCUCCGCCCUGGUGGGCUUCUAUCCCAUCUGCUCAGCGGUGGGGGCUCCUUGCUCCGCCCUGGUGGGCUCCAGUUCCGCCUGCUCCGCCCCGGUGGACUCCUGUUCCGUCGGCUCUGCCUUGGUCGCCAGCCAUUCCACUUCCACAUGGACCAGGCCCUCCAUCCCUCCCCCUGUUCCGCCUCCGCUCCACCGCCCUCCAAGACUGUAUAGAGCGUCUGGAAGCCGCUCCUUGUGGGGGGGCUAUGUCACGAUCUCUAGGUGGAGUGCCUGUGAGCUUCAGUAGAGGGCACUCCACUCAGGACUCAUUCAGAACUCCAUUUCCCAUCCUGCCUCACUCCUGGGACUGAUUGCACACACACCUGCACCUAAUUCCACACACACCUGCAGCUAAUACACACACACCCAUAUAAGCAGCACACUCACACCAUCACACUGCGAAGUCUUGUUCAGCCCGUCUAACAUUUCCGAGCGUUUUCCCUUUGUUUGUUCUUCCGUGUCUGACUUCUGGAUUGUGUAUUCUGACUCUGAUUCUCUGCUGCCUGCCCCGAUCUCUGCUUGUUUCUGGUUUCGAUUCUGGUUACCCCUGACAUACCUGACAACAUUCCUGAUUUCCACCUGUCUGACCACUCUGUUAAUAAAUACUGCAAUUGGAUCUGAACGUCUCUGACUCUCCAGUGUAACAGAUUUAGAAUAAAAAAAUACAAAAGGGGUUUUUUUUUUUUUUUCCCCCUCUGGCUAUUGACAAUAUUUCCUGAUGUACUUAUCUUAAUGUUCUGAGAUUUAUCAUUAGCAAAUGUGCAUUCCAUCAUUAAAUACUGUAUUUUGUAUCAUGUAAUUAAACAGGUCCAUGAAACACAUUUGGCCCAUACUACUGCACAUAUUACAAUUUUGAAAUUAGUUAUCUGUGUUAAAAAGGUAUUAAACAACUCACCCCC